rnacentral:lncRNA from 1 species
GUUCUCUGAGAAGAGCAAGACCACCAAGGACAGUCCACAGGCAGCUCGGGAUGGAAAGAGAGGGGUGGGCAGUGCUGGAUGGCCAGACAGGGUCACCUUCCGGGGCCAAUACACAGGCCACGAAUACCAUGUUCUGUCCCCUAAGGCGGUCCCAAAAGGCAAUGGCACAGUCUCCUGUCCCCACUGCCGGCCCAUUAGGACCCAGGAUGCGGGUGGUGCUGUCACAGGGGACCCACUGGGACCGCCUCCCGCUGAUACCCUUCAGUGUCCCCUGUGUGGUCAAGUUGGGUCUCCCCCAGAGGCAGAUGGUCCAGGCUCAGCCACCUCUGGGGCAGAGAAGGCCACCACGAGGAGAAAAGCAUCUUCAACUCCCAGCCCCAAGCAGAGGAGCAAGCAGGCGGGGUCGUCGCCACGCCCACCCCCCGGACUGUGGUAUCUGGCAACAGCGCCCCCAGCACCAGCCCCUCCAGCCUUUGCCUACAUCUCCUCGGUUCCCAUCAUGCCUUAUCCACCUGCCGCUGUGUACUAUGCGCCUGCAGGACCUACCUCAGCCCAACCAGCUGCCAAGUGGCCGCCCACAGCCUCUCCCCCACCAGCCCGGAGACACCGGCACUCCAUCCAGCUCGACCUGGGCGACCUAGAGGAGCUCAACAAGGCCCUGAGCCGGGCCGUGCAGGCUGCCGAGAGCGUCCGCUCUACCACCAGGCAGAUGAGAAGCUCGCUGUCAGCCGACCUGCGCCAGGCUCACAGCCUGCGGGGCUCCUGCCUCUUCUGACUUCACUGGGGGCCCAGAGGCAGAUGGGUGGGUGGGUGGGCAGGUGGCCUGCCAGGCCAGGAGUGGGCUGGAGCUGCUGAGGCCCAGAAGGCCCGCAUAGUUCCUCACCAGGAGGGUCUCCCUCCAGCACAGGUCCCGCCUGCUCAGUCCCUGUGCUUUCCAAGUGGAGGGGGUGUCAGCUCGGUCACCAAGAGAAGUGACUUCCCAGGAGCACCAGUCCCCUCACAGAGGUGCUGUGAGCGAGGCCUCCUUCGGUCCAGGCAGAACCUCAGGCAGUCUCUCCUGGUCCUGCAUGUGUGCAACUCCAGCUAAUAAUAGGUAUUUUAUAUACAGAUGGACAGAUAUUUUUUUAAACUGGGGAGUUUUCCUGAUCUUGGGUCCUCUUUAGGGGGCCAGACAAGAAAGGCCUACGGUUUCUGGAGCAAACCUGUCCCCCACCUGUGACCAGUCACUCUGGGGCAAGCAUCACUGGGAAGGGCAUAGCCGGAGACCUUUCUCCUAGUGACUGGUAGUCAGUGGGGCAUUUUAGGAUGUCAGGGCCCCAGGGUGACAUGUGUCCAGCUUUUCUAUGGCAGCAGAGGCCUUUCCCUCAGACAAGCUACAAAGUGCCCAGGAUGCCAUCCACCAUGGUCCCCUUCAGUACCUCACGCAUGGUCCCCAGCUUCUCCUAGGAUCCCAGUGGCGUUUAUCAGUGGCCAGCUACCUGCCAGGCCCGGGCUGGGGCACGGUCUGCGGCCAUGAGGCCAGGCCGCCUCCCGCACCCCUACCCCGUGGCAGCAGCAUACCUCUGCAUUUCUGGAAUGUGUGUGCAUCAAUGAUGUUUGUAUAUUUGAGGCAUUUAAAAAUCUAUUUUCGUUACGAGGGCAAAUGAAGAAUGAAUAUUGAUCU